rnacentral:tRNA from 1 species
GGUUGUGGCUCAGUGGUAGAGCACUUGCCUAGCAUGCAUAAAGUGCUAGGUUGGAUCCCCGGCACCA